rnacentral:rRNA from 1 species
UCCGGUGGUUAUUGCGAGAGGGAAACACCUCUUCCCAUUCCGAACAGAGCAGUUAAAGCCUCUCAGCGCCGAUGGUACUUGGCCCGCAAGGGCCCGGGAGAGUAGGACGCCGCCGGUU